UUUUUUUAGUGUUCUAUCGAACUUUCGAAAAAAAAAUACCUGAUAACCGUUCAGACAAAAAAAUUAUGUUGCAAAAAUCUUACAGAUACAGCAAGUGAUUCUUAAUAGCUAUAAGAUACAUUUUUCUUUUAAAAUACAACUUUUAAAUCUUACGGGAAACUAUUCCAAGCUUAAAACUUUCACUGUAACCUCGCUCUAACUUAUCCCCCCCCC
rnacentral:lncRNA from 1 species